GAGUCUCACUCUGUCACCCAUGUUGGAGUGCAGUAGCAUGGUAUCAGCUCACUGUGACCCCCACUUCCCGGGUUCAAGCAAUUCUCCUGCCUCAGCCUCCUGAGUAGCUGGGAUUACAGGCAUGCACCACCGCACCCAGCUAAUUUUUAUAUUUUUAAUAGAGAGAGGUUUCACCACAUUGGCCAG